rnacentral:rRNA from 1 species
AUUGAACGCUGGCGGCAUGCUUUACACAUGCAAGUCGAACGAGUGGCGGACGGGUGAGUAAUGUUUGGGAACCUAGCUUGUGGAGGGGGAUAACUAAUGGAAACUUUAGCUAAUACCGCGUACUAUACGAGGAGCCCAUGUUGGAUUAGCUAGUUGGUGGGGUAAAGGCCCACCAAGGCGACGAUCGCUAGCUGGUCUGAGAGGAUGACCAGCCACACUGGGACUGAGACACGGCCCAGAAUCCGACGGGAGGCAGCAGUGGGGAAUAUUGGGCAAUGGGGGCAAGCCUGAUGCAGCCAUGCCGCGUGAAUGAAGAAGGCCUUCGGGUUGUAAAGGACUUUCGGUAGGGAAGCGGUAACUACAGAAUAAGCACCGGCUAACUCCGUGCCAGCAGCCGCGGUAAUAC